rnacentral:lncRNA from 1 species
GGGCAGCCAAGACUGACACCACUUCAUAAAGAACCAUGAACGUAAAACUAAGUAUAAGCCCAGGGAAGGUCUGGGGACAAAAGACCAGUCAAACCAUCCACAACUGAGAAAGCAUGGCGGCAGUGACUCUCCGUUCCUUAUGCUCCUACCUCUUAAACCCAUCCCCACCUUUUCUUUCUCCCACACAGAUCAGCCUCUUGGUUUCUCCUCUUUAUAGAAACACCUCCUUUUCCCAGCAGGCACAGAUGUCUUCUGGACUCUUGCUUAUGAUGGAAAAUGACUUUUUGACAUACAUAUACUAUUGCGUUAGAUCCCUAAAGGCCAAGACCCCAUCUUCUCCCUCUGAUCCAGCCCUGCCACAUAAUUUUGGUAAUCCAGAUUCAGUGAGGACUCAAAAAUUCAUUUGAUGGGAUGACUGAUGAUAAGGACAUCAAAAGAGGUCUGCUGCUUUGAUACAUCUUCUGCCACCCUCAUGAAACCCUGGUCUGAGUCCUCCUGGCAGAGAAAGGCAAAGAUUCACCAUAUUGAUGGAGGGAAGAGAAAAGGACCCUAGACCUUUGUGAAUCGACGCCCAGAGAAACGCAAAUAUAAUUGGGUCUUCUAGCUCUACAAUACUCGGUCAUUAAUUCUCUGUCAUCACCUCCUAUCCUUAGUGCCCCCCUCCCCUCUUCUCAUCACUUCCAUGGUCCUCAGCCCAGUCAACAAAUCCUGACUAUUUCAGCAGCAGCAACAGCAGCAUUGCCAGCUAGCAUCAUAUGGUGCCCACUCUGGGGCAGUCACUGGGGUAAACCAUUUAUAGAUAUCUUAUCAGACCCUCACAGACCCUCGGGAGAUAAGUGCCAUUAUUGUCCCCAUUUAAGAGUUGAGGAAACUGAGGCAGACAGAUAUUAAGUAGCUUGCCCAGUAUCACAUAGCUAGUAAGUAGCGGAGGUCAAAUUUGAAUUCAGGUCUUCCUGACUCCAAACCCAGCAUCCUAUCCCACUGUGUCAAUCUAGUUGCCCAUUUCAGCACAGAUGCUCUAACAGAAAUGUUUCAGUAGUGGCCGUCUCUGGAGAGACUGCCCAGAGGCUCUAAUAUCACAAUCCAUUCAGAUUCCUAACAUUUUGUGAUUUUAUGACUUAUGUCAAUUAUAGCCAAAAAUCCAUGGAAUUAUGACAU